GAGGGGGGGAAGUGAAAGAGGACACUGUGAUAUUAAAGCAGAUAUCUUGAUUGACAGAAAUAAGGAAAGCAAAUAGAGAGAAUGUGAAUGAGAAACUGAGAAGCUAGGAGAGUAACUGCUAGUCAAUUUCAGAGAGAAAGUGAAGAAGCGAGAUAGAGAAAGAGUACAUAAGAAGUCCAUUCAUCUAAUGUGGAUGAGAAUCUUAUAUGAUAUUUGAAUCGGUUCUCAUGGAAGGCAGAAUAGUACUAAUAGGUGUAGUAUGUUAUGAUUAUGGAGGGUGCUCCGAUUGUGGCCAAAGCUAUUAAGAUUCUGGUGGUUUCCAUGGGUAGAGUAAGGCCUGAUUUUCUCUGUCUAUCCGGCUGAACUUAGAAUUACUUAUUUUUGUAGACAACUUCCAUUAAGCCAUGUUAGUAGUCUCAUUCUGUUGUGUACAUCAUGCCAAUUUCUUUGGAUGGUUCUCAAGUGAUGUACAUACUACUGUAGUUUUCGGGAUCAGAUAUUGGCUUCGUCCCAUCUUAAGAACUUUGUUGCAUGGUAACCUCCAGGAAUUCGGUGAUAGAAUUGGGAAAAUUAUGUCCCCAAACAGUUCCUUGGAGGAAAAAUAUCUCUGAUAUGGAUUGUGAGGGCAAAUUUCUAGAGGACGGAAGGAGUGCUGAGAGAGCCCAAGUGUUCGAUAAAUUAAGAACUAACAACAAUGCAUCACAGUCUCCAUUAUUUGCAAGGAAUCCAAUAAAGUUGGGGAAUGUGCUAUUUGCUUUACUUUCAGGGACAGAGUCCCUGUCUCAUACCGGACAAGGACGACUUGCAGAGGAUCUGAGUAUGGAACAUCAGAUGAAUUUGGAAGAAGCCUAACAUCGCCUGCCCUGAUGUCAUCAGUUGAAGCUCUCUUGCCUGAGGAUACCUGAAGUGAAAGGUAAGAAACACUUGACUUUCCAAAGGAACUCAAAGUGCUCAGGUGUUGAUGGAGCUCGCAGGAGUUCCCAACCUUGAAUCAUGAUCCUUUGGGACCUGGUUCAGGCUCACUGCCUGUGGCUACUCCUGUUAUUGGAGAAUAGGCCCAUUGGUUCGUGGUAAAGGAUGUGAAUGUCUUGAAUUCUGUUCGCUCACCAAACCUGAUCUAUUUUGAGUAUACUAAGUGUCAUGGCAGGGGGUACACCAGCGUGCUUGGAUCGAUGAUGAUUUCCAAUAAAACAUUCCUUGGAAAGCUGAACAAAAUGAGUGAAAACUCAAUACCGCCACUAUCAUCGUGACUGAGGUCCAGCACCUGGGAUCACAAAUGUCACUGAGGGACUCACAUGGCCUCCAUUCAUCUUGCGAGACUUGGAUCCAGUUGAGAGCCUUCAGAAUGUUCUUUGCUUGCCUAAAUCACCAGAAAUCAUGGCCUAAAUCAAGGCUUCACCUUUUGCUCUAAUGAUAACAUGCAUUCCAGUUGAGGAGAUCAUUGUCAUUAUCUUGUAAGUUAGCCCUACCAACUCCAUCAACAAUAAUGUAUAGUAGGUUGUGAGGCAAAUGUAAGUUUAGCCGGGGCAGCAUAGUGCAACACUGUACACUGGAAUGUCAGGAAAUGUGUUUCUGUCCCUGUCUGAAGCCUUCGCAUGAAUGAUAACCCUUCUGUUUCAUAAAACAGAGAUACAUAACGGGAAGGUUACAGGCGACAUGUGGAAUGAGGCAGUAGCAAUUCUCAGGAACUAUGGGAAUGUGGACUCUUCCUGUGUGAAAACAAUGCUCUAUUUUCUUGAAAGACUGAUUGUGGCCAUGGCAAUUAGGUUGGAAAGAGAGCCUUGGAAUUUAAAAGGUUGGCAUGUAGCCUUCUUGUCGGUAGAUUCUAGAAGGACAUGCUUUCAAAUGUCCCAGGAUUCAUACCACCUUCAUGGAUGUAUGGAAAACACCCAUUUUAUCCUAGUUUCUAUUUUUAUUGUUGGGACAUUUUUUGUGAGUCUAUCCGGGUAGUUUGCCAGCACUUGUUAUGGAUUGACUGUACCAAAAUGGUCUGGACAUACAUCUCCACCUAUUCUAGGAUCUAAGAAUGUGAUCAUGCAAGUUUGUUUCUUACACACACUCCUUCUAGGAAUUUUAUAUUUUGGUAUGGCCGUAGAAGAUAGGCAUGGAUUGUCUGCGGGAAUAUCUUUCCUUAUGGUCUUGAUGUGGCCUUGCUGAAGAUUAACUUGCAUUUUGGCUAUGUGUUUUGGGGCUGAUGGUAGUCCUGUUAUCUUAGACAUUGUUCUUUUCUCCAAGCAAAUAUCAACAAGUAAUAGUGUUUCCCUUUGAUUAUGAAAGUGAGCUGUAUGCUUAGGAUCCUGCUGUUGAUAAUAACAUAUAUCUCAGUGAAUACAGUUUAUGCUUGUGUUUGGUGACCUGAGAGGGUUGGAACAGACACUUUCACUGUGGUGAUCAAUGUCAGAUACCACAGCAAUAGCACUCACAGGAAUUUAGUACCAGUCAAAACCUGAAUAGGAGAUAUAUGAGCAUGGACAGAGACAGAGAGAAAGAACAAUUGUUGAAGAGGCUAAGCAUGUGUGAGACAGAGGAAGACAGUAAGAGACAGAAAGAGAGAGGGGGGGAGAGAGGGGGGGAAGUGAAAGAGUACACUGUGAUAUUAAAGCAGAUAUCUUGAUUGACAGAAAUAAGGAAACCAAAUAGAGAGACUGUGAAUGAGUAACUGAGAAGCUAGGAGAGUCACUGCUAGUCAAUUUCAGAGAGAAAGUGAAGAUGCGAGAUAGAGAAAGAGUACAUAAGAAGUCCAUUCAUCUAAUGUGGAUGAGAAUCUUAUAUGAUAUUUGAAUCGGUUCUCAUGGAAGGCAGAGUAGGACUAAUAGGUGUAGUAUGUUAUGAUUAUGGAGGGUGCUCCGAUUGUGGCCAAAGCUAUUAAGAUUCUGGUGGUUUCCAUGAGAAGAGUAAGGCCUUAUUUUCUCUGUCUAUCCGGCUGAACUGAGAAUUACUUAUUUUUGUAGACAACUUCCAUUAAGCCAUGUUAGUAGUCUCAUUCUGUUGUGUACAUCAUGCCAAUUUCUUUGGAUGGUUCUCAAGUGAUGUACAUACUACUGUAGUUUUCGGGAUCAGAUAUUGGCUUCGUCCCAUCUUAAGAACUUUGUUGCAUGGUAACCUCCAGGAAUUCGGGGAUAGAAUUGGGAAAAUUAUGUCCCCAAACAGUUCCUUGGAGGAAAAAUAUCUCUGAUAUGGAUUGUGAGGGCAAAUUUCUAGAGGACGAAAGGAGUGCUGAGAGAGCCCAAGUGUUCGAUAAAUUAAGAACUAACAACAAUGCAUCACAGUCUCCAUGAUUUGCAAGGAAUCCAAUAAAGUGGGGGUAUGUGCUAUUUGCUUUACUUUCAGGGACAGAGUCCCUGUCUCAUACCGGACAAGGACGGCUUGCAGAGGAACUGAGUAUGGAACAUCAGAUGAAGUUGGAAGAAGCCUAACAUCGCCUGCCCUGAUGUCAUCAGUUGAAGCUCUCUUGCCUGAGAAUACCUGAAGUGAAAGGGACAGAGUCCCUGUCUCAUACCGGACAAGGACGGCUUGCAGAGGAACUGAGUAUGGAACAUCAGAUGAAGUUGGAAGAAGCCUAACAUCGCCUGCCCUGAUGUCAUCAGUUGAAGCUCUCUUGCCUGAGAAUACCUGAAGUGAAAGGGACAGAGUCCCUGUCUCAUACCGGACAAGGACGGCUUGCAGAGGAACUGAGUAGGAACAUCAGAUGAAGUUGGAAGAAGCCUAACAUCGCCUGCCCUGAUGUCAUCAGUUGAAGCUCUCUUGCCUGAGGAUACCUGAAGUGAAAGGUAAGAAACACUUGACUUUCCAAAGGAACUCAAAAUGCUCAGGUGUUGAUGGAGCUCGCAGGAGUUCCCAACCUUGAAUCAUGAUCCUUUGGGACCUGGUUCAGGCUCACUGCUUGUGGCUACUCCUGUUAUUGGAGAAUAGGCCCAUUGUUUCGUGGUAAAGGAUGUGAAUGUCUUGAAUUCUGUUCGCUCACCAAACCUGAUCUAUUUUGAGUAUACUAAGUGUCAUGGCAGGGGGUACACCAGCGUGCUUGGAUCGAUGAUGAUUUCCAAUAAAACAUUCCUUGGAAAGCUGAACAAAAUGAGUGAAAACUCAAUACCGCCACUAUCAUCGUGACUGAGGUCCAGCACCUGGGAUCACAAAUGUCACUGAGGGACUCACAUGGCCUCCAUUCAUCUUGCGAGACUUGGAUCCAGUUGAGAGCCUUCAGAAUGUUCUUUGCUUGCCUAAAUCACCAGAAAUCAUGGCCUAAAUCAAGGCUUCACCUUUUGAUCUAAUGAUAACAUGCAUUCCAGUUGAGGAGAUCAUUGUCAUUAUCUUGUAAGUUAGCCCUACCAACUCCAUCAACAAUAAUGUAUAGUAGGUUGUGAGGCAAAUGUAAGUUUAGCCGGGGCAGCAUAGUGCAACACUGUACACUGGAAUGUCAGGAAAUGUGUUUCUGUCCCUGUCUGAAGCCUUCGCAUGAAUGAUAACCCUUCUGUUUCAUAAAACAGAGAUACAUAACGGGAAGAUUACAGGCGACAUGUGGAAUGAGGCAGUAGCAAUUCUCAGGAACUAUGGGAAUGUGGACUCUUCCUGUGUGAAAACAAAUCUCUGUUUUCUUGAAAGACUGAUUGUGGCCAUGGCAAUUAGGUUGGAAAUAGAGCCUUGGAAUUUAAAAGGUUGACAUGUAGCCUUCUUGUCGGUGGAUUCUAGAAGUGCAUGCUUUCAAAUGUCCCAGGAUUCAUACCACCUUCAUGGAUGUAUGGAGAACACCCAUUUUAAUCCUAGUUUCUAUGCUUAUUGUUGGGACAUUUUUUGUCAGACUAUCCGGGUAGUUUGCCGGCAGUUCUUAUGGAUUGACUGUACCAAAAUGGUCUGGACAUACAUUCUCCUCCUCUUCUAGGAUCUAAGAAUGUGACCAUGCAAGUUUGUUUCUUACACACACUCCUUCUAGGAAUUUUAUAUUUUGGUAUGGCCGUAGAAGACAGGCAUGGAGUGUCUGUGGGAUUAUCAUUCGUUAUGGUUUUGAUGUGGCCUUAUGAAAGUUAACUUGGCAUUUUGGCUAUGUGUUUUGGGGCUGAUGGUAGUCCUGUUAUCUUAGACAAUGUUCUUUUUUUCCAAGCAAAUAUCAACAAGAAAUUGUGUUUCCAUUUGAUUAUGAAAGUGAGCUGUAUGCUUAGGAUCAUGCUGUUGAUAAUAACAUAUAUCUCAGUGACUACAUGUUAUGCUUGUGUUUGGUGACCUGAGAGGGUUUGAACAGAUUCUUUAUCUGUGGUGAUCAAUGUCAGAUACCACAGCAAUGGCACUCACAGGAAUUAGUACCAGUCAAAACCUGAAUAGGAGAUAUAUGAGCAUGGACAGAAAGAGAGAAAAAACAAUUGUUGAAGAGGCUAAGCAUGUGUGAGACAGAGGAAGACAGUGAGAGACAGAAAGAGAGAGAGGGGGGGACAGAGGGGGGUGGUAUGGAAAAGAGGACACUGUGAUAUUAAAGCAGAUAUCUUGAUUGACAGAAAUAAGGAAACCAAAUAGAGAGAAUGUGAGUGAGAAACUGAGAAGCUGGGAGAGUCACUGCAAGUCAAUUUCAGAGAGAAGUGAAGAAGCGAGAUAGAGAAAGAGUACAUAAGAAGUCCAUUCAUCUAAUGUGGAUGAGAAUCUUAUAUGAUAUUUGAAUCGGUUCUCAUCGAACUCAGAGUAGUACUAAUAGGUGUAGUAUGUUAUGAUUAUGGAGGGUGCUCCGAUUGUGGCCAAAGCUAUUAAGAUUCUGGUGGUUUCCAUGGGAAGAGUAAGGCCUGAUUUUCUCUGUCAUAUCCAGCUGAACUGAGAUUUACUUAUGUUUGUAGACAACUCCCAUUAAGCCAUGUUAGUGGUCUCAUUCUGUUGUGUACCUCGUGCCAUUUUCUUUGGAUGGUUCUCAAGUGAUGUACAUACUAUUGUAGUUUUCGGGAUCAGAUAUUGGCUUCGUCCCAUCUUAAGAACUUUGUUGCAUGGUAACCUCCAGGAAUUCGGUGAUAGAAUUGGGAAAAUUAUGUCCCCAAAGAGUUCCUUGGAGGAAAAAUAUCUCUGAUAUGGAUUGUGAGGGCAAAUUGCUAGAGGACGGAAGGAGUGCUGAGAGAGCCCAUGUGUUCCAUAAAUUAAGAACUAACAACAAUGCAUCACAGUCUCCAUGAUUUGCAAGGAAUCCAAUAAAGUGGGGGAAUGUGCUAUUUGCUUUACUUUCAGGGACAGAGUCCCUGUCUCAUACCGGACAAGGACGGCUUGCAGAGGAACUGAGUAGGAACAUCAGAUGAAGUUGGAAGAAGCCUAACAUCGCCUGCCCUGAUGUCAUCAGUUGAAGUCUCUUGCCUGAGGAUACCUGAAUUGAAAGGGACAGAGUCCCUGUCUCAUACCGGACAAGGACAGCUUGCAGAGGAACUGAGUAUGGAACAUCAGAUGAAGUUGGAAGAUGCCUUACAUCGCCUGCCCUGAUGUCAUCAGUUGUAGCUCUCUUGCCUGAGGAUACCUGAAUUGAAAGGGACAGAGUCCCUGUCUCAUACCGGACAAGGACAGCUUGCAGAGGAACUGAGUAUGGAACAUCAGAUGAAGUUGGAAGAUGCCUUACAUCGCCUGCCCUGAUGUCAUCAGUUGUAGCUCUCUUGCCUGAGGAUACCUGAACUGAAAGGGACAGAGUCCCUGUCUCAUACCGGACAAGGACGGCUUGCAGAGGAACUGAGUAUGGAACAUCAGAUGAAGUUUGAAGAAGCCUAAAAUCGCCUGCCCUGAUGUCAUCAGUUGAAGCUCUCUUGCCUGAGGAUACCUGAAGUGAAAGGUAAGAAACACUUGAAUUUCCAAAGGAACUCAAAGUGCUCAGGUGUUGAUGGAGCUCGAAGGAGUUCCCAACCUUUUAUCAUGAUCCUUUGGGACCUGGUCCAGGCUCACUGCCUGUGGCUACUCCUGUGAUUGGAGAAUAGGCCCAUUGGUUCGUGGUAAAGGAUGUGAAUGUCUUGAAUUCUGUUCGCUCACCAAACCUGAUCUAUUUUGAGUAUACUAAGUGUCAUGGCAGGGGGUACACCAGCGUGCUUGGAUCGAUGAUGAUUUCCAAUAAAACAUUCCUUGGAAAGCUGAACAAAAUGAGUGAAAACUCAAUACCGCCACUAUCAUCGUGACUGAGGUCCAGCACCUGGGAUCACAAAUGUCACUGAGGGACUCACAUGGCCUCCAUUCAUCUUGCGAGACUUGGAUCCAGUGAGAGAGCCUUCAGAAUGUUCUUUGCUUGCCUAAAUCACCAGAAAUCAUGGCCUAAAUCCAGGCUUCACCUUUUGCUCUAAUGAUAACAUGCUUUCCGGUUGAGGAGAUCCUUGUCAGUAUCUUGGAAGUUAGCCCUACCAACUCCAUCAGCAAUAAUGUAUAGUAGGUUGUGAGGCAAAUGUAAGUUUAGCGGGGGCAGCAGAGUUCAACAAUGUACACUGGAAUGUCAGGAAAUGUGUUUCUGUCCCUGUCUGAAGCCUUCGCAUGAAUCAUAACCCUUCUGUUUCAUAAAACAGAGAUACAUAACGGGAAGGUUUCAGGCGACAUGUGGAAUGAGGCAGUAGCAAUUCUCAGGAACUAUGGGAAUGUGGACUCUUCCUGUGUGAAAACAAAGCUCUGUUUUCUUGAAAGACUGAUUGUGGCCAUGGCAAUUAGGUUGGAAAGAGAGCCUUGGAAUUUAAAAGGUUGGCAUGUAGCCUUCUUGUUGGUUGACUCCAGAAGUGCAUGCUUUCAAAUGAACAAAGAUUCACACCACCUUCAUGGUUGUAUGGAGAACACCCAUUUUAAUCCUAGUUUCUAUGUUUAUUGUUGGGACAUUUUUUGUCAGUCUAUCCGGGUAGUUUGCCAGCAGUUCUUAUGGAUUGACUGUACCAAAAUGGUCUGGACAUACAUCUCCUCCUCUUCUAGGAUAUAAGAAUGUGAGCAUGCAAGUUUGUUUCUUACACACACUCCUUCUAGGAAUUUUAUAUUUUGGUAUGGCCGUAGAAGAUAGGCAUGGAGUGUCUGCGGGAUUAUCUUUCCUUUUGGUUUUGAUGUGGCCUUGCUGAUGGUUAACUUGGCAUUUUGGCUAUGUGUUUUGGGGCUGAUGGUAGUCCUGUUAUCUUAGACUUUGUUCUUUUCUCCAAGCAAAUAUCAAUAAGAAAUUGUGUUUCCAUUUGAUUAUGAAAGUGAGCUGUAUGCUUAGGAUCAUGCUGUUGAUAAUAACAUAUGUCUCGGUGACUACAGGUUAUGCUUGUGUUUGGUGACUUGAGAGGGUUUGAACAGACACCUUCUCUGUGGUGAUCAAUGUCAGAUACCACAGCAAUAGCACUCACAGGAAUUUCGUACCAGUCAAAACCUGAAUAGGAGAUAUAUGAGCAUGGACAGAGAAAGAGAGAAAGAACAAUUGUUGAAGAGGCUAAGCAUGUGUGAGACAGAGGAAGACAGUGAGAGACAGUAAGAGAGAGAGAGAGGGGGUGGACAGAGGGGGGGUGAAGUGGAAAAGAGGACACUGUGAUAUUAAAGCAGAUAUCUUGAUUGACAGAAAUAAGGAAACCAAAUAGAGAGAAUUUGAGUGAGAAACUGAGAAGCUAGGAGAGUCACUGCAAGUCAAUUUCAGAGAGAAAGUGAAGAAGCGAAAUAGAGAAAGAGUACAUAAGAAGUCCAUUCAUCUAAUGUGGAUGAGAAUCUUAUAUGAUAUUUGAAUCGGUUCUCAUCGAAGGCAGAGUAGGAGUAAUAGGUGUAGUAUUUUAUAAUUAUGGAGGGUGCUCCGAUUGUGGCCAAAGCAUUUAAGAUUCCGGUGGUUUCUCUGGAAAUAGUAAGGCCUGAUUUUCUCUGUCAUAUCCGGCUGAACUGAGAUUUAAUUAUUUUUGUAGACAACUUCCAUUAAGCCAUGUUAGUGGUCUCAUUCUGUUGUGUACCUCGUGCCAAUUUCUUUGGUUGGUUCUCAAGUGAUGUACAUACUACUGUAGUUUUCGGGAUCAGAUAUUGGCUUCGUCCCAUCUUAAGAACUUUGUUGCAUGGUAACCUCCAGGAAUUCGGUGAUAGAAUUGGAAAAAUUAUGUCCCCAAAGAGUUCCUUGGAGGAAAAAUAUCUCUGAUAUGCAUUGUGAGUGCAAAUUUCUAGAGGACGGAAGAAGUGCUGAGAGAGCCCAUGUGUUCGAUAAAUUAAGAACUAACAACAAUGCAUCACAGUCUCCAUGAUUUGCAAGGAAUCCAAUAAAGUGGGGGAAUGUGCUAUUUGCUUUACUUUCAGGGACAGAGUCCCUGUCUCAUACCGGACAAGGACGGCUUGCAGAGGAACUGAGUAUGGAACAUCAGAUGAAGUUGGAAGAAGCCUAACAUCGCCUGCCCUGAUGUCAUCAGUUGAAGCUCUCUUGCCUGAGGAUACCUGAAGUGAAAGGGACAGUGUCCCGGUCUCAUACCGGACAAGGACGGCUUGCAGAGGAACUGAGUAUGGAACAUCAGAUGAAGUUGGAAGAAGCCUAACAUCGCCUGCCCUGAUGUCAUCAGUUGAAGCUCUCUUGCCUGAGGAUACCUGAAGUGAAAGGGACAGUGUCCCGGUCUCAUACCGGACAAGGACGGCUUGCAGAGGAACUGAGUAUGGAACAUCAGAUGAAGUUGGAAGAAGCCUAACAUCGCCUGCCCUGAUGUCAUCAGUUGAAGCUCUCUUGCCUGAGGAUACCUGAAGUGAAAGGGACAGUGUCCCGGUCUCAUACCGGACAAGGACGGCUUGCAGAGGAACUGAGUAUGGAACAUCAGAUGAAGUUGGAAGAAGCCUAACAUCGCCUGCCCUGAUGUCAUCAGUUGAAGCUCUCUUGCCUGAGGAUACCUGAAGUGAAAGGGACAGUGUCCCGGUCUCAUACCGGACAAGGACGGCUUGCAGAGGAACUGAGUAUGGAACAUCAGAUGAAGUUGGAAGAAGCCUAACAUCGCCUGCCCUGAUGUCAUCAGUUGAAGCUCUCUUGCCUGAGGAUACCUGAAGUGAAAGGUAAGAAACACUUGACUUUCCAAAGGAACUCAUAGUGCUCAGGUGUUGAUGGAGCUCGCAGGAGUUCCCAACCUUGAAUCAUGAUCCUUUUGACCUGGUCCAGGCUCACUGCCUGUGGCUACUCCUGUGAUUGGAGAAUAGGCCCAUUGGUUCGUGGUAAAGAUGUGAAUGUCUUGAAUUCUGUUCGCUCACCAAACCUGAUCUAUUUUGAGUAUACUAAGUGUCAUGGCAGGGGGUACACCAGCGUGCUUGGAUCGAUGAUGAUUUCCAAUAAAACAUUCCUUGGAAAGCUGAAGAAAAUGAGUGAAAACUCAAUACCGCCAAUAUCAUCGUGACUGCGGUCCAGCACCUGGGAUCACAAAUGUCACUGAGAGACUCAAAUAGCCUCCAUUCAUCUUGCGAGACUUGGAUCCAGUGAGAGAGCCUUCAGAAUGUUCUUUGCUUGCCUAAAUCACCAGAAAUCAUGGCCUAAAUCAAGGCUUCACCUUUUGCUCUAAUGAUAACAUGCUUUCCGGUUGAGGAGAUCAUUGUCAAUAUCUUGGAAGUUAGCCCUACCGACUCCAUCAGCAAUAAUGUAUAGAGGUUGUGAGGCAAAUGUAAGUUUAGCGGGGGCGGCAUAGUUCAACAAUGUACACUGGAAUGUCAGGAAAUGUGUUUCUGUCCGUGACUGAAGCCUUCGCAUGAAUGAUAACCCUUCUGUUUAAUAAAACAGAGAUACAUAACGGGAAGGUUACAGGCGACACGUGGAAUGAGGCAGUAGCAAUUCUCAGGAACUAUGGGAAUGUGGACUCUUCCUGUGUGAAAACAAAGCUCUGUUUUCUUGAAAGACUGAUUGUGGCCCUGGCAAUUAGGUUGGAAAGAGAGCCUUGGAAUUUAAAAGGUUGGCAUGUAGCCUUCUUGUCGGUGGAUUCUAGAAGUGCAUGCUUUCAAAUGUCCCAGGAUUCAUACCACCUUUUUGGAUGUAUGGAGAACGCCCAUUUUAAUCCUAGUUUCUAUGUUUAUUGUUGGGACAUGUUUUGUCAGUCUAUCCGUGUAGUUUGCCAGCAGUUCUUAUGGAUUGACUGUACCAAAAUGGUCUGGACAUACAUCUCCUCCUCUUCUAGGAUCUAAAAAUGUGAGCAUGCAAGUUUCUUUCUUACACACACUCCUUCUAGGAAUUUUAUAUUUUGGUAUGGCCGUAGAAGAUAGGCAUGGAGUGUCUGUGGGAUUAUCUUUUCUUAUGGUUUUGAUGGGGCCUCGCUGAAGGUUAACUUGGCAUUUUGGCUAUGUGUUUUGGGGCUGAUGGUAGUCCUGUUAUCUUAGACAUUGUUCUUUUCUCCAAGCAAAUAUCAACAAGAAAUUGUGUUUCCAUUUGAUUAUGAAAGUGAGCUGUAUGCUUAGGAUCAUGCUGUUGAUAAUAACAUAUAUCUCAGUGACUACAGGUUAUGCUUGUGUUUGGUGACCUGAGAGGGUUUGAACAGACACUUUCUGUGUGGUGAUCAAUGUCAUAUCCCACAGCAAUAGAACUCACAGGAAUUUCGUACCAGUCAAAACCUGAAUAGGAGAUAUAUGAGUAUGGGCAGAGAAAGAGAGAAAGAACAAGUGUUGAAGAGGCUAAGCAUGUGUGAGACAGAGGAAGACAGUGAGAGACAAUAAGAGAGAAAGGGGGGGGAGGAGAGAUGGGGGUUGAAGUGGAAAAGAGGACACUGUGAUAUUAAAGCAGAUAUCUUGAUUGACAGAAAUAAGGAAACCAAAUAGAGAGAAUGUGAGUGAGAAACUGAGAAGCUAGGAGAGUCACUGCUAGUCAAUUUCAGAGAGAAAGUGAUGAAGCGAGAUAGAGAAAGAGUACAUAAGAAGUCCAUUCAUCUAAUGUGGAUGAGAAUCUUAUAUGAUAUUUGAAUCGGUUCUCUUCGAAGGCAGAGUAGGACUAAUAGGUGUAGUAUGUUAUGAUUAUGGAGGGUGCUCCGAUUGUGGCCAAAGCAUUUAAGAUUCUGGUGGUUUCCCUGGGAAGAGUAAGUCCUGAUUUUCUCUGUCAUAUCCGGCUGAACUGAGAUUUACUUAUUUUAGUAGACAACUUCCAUUAAGCCUUGUUAGUGGUCUCAUUCUGUUGUGUACCUCGUUCCAAUUUCUUUGGAUGGUUCUCAAGUGAUGUACAUACUACUGUAGUUUUCGGGAUCAGAUAUUGGGUUCGUCCCAUCUUAAGAACUUUGUUGCAUGGUAACCUCCAGGAAUUCGGUGAUAGAAUUGGGAAACUUCUGUCCUCACACAGUUCCUUGGAGGAAAAAUAUCUCUGAUAUGGAUUGUGAGGGCAAAUUUCUAGAGGACGGAAGGAGUGCUGAGAGAGCCCAAGUGUUUGAUAAAUUAAGAACUAACAACAAUGCAUCACAAUCUCCAUGAUUUGCAAGGAAUCCAAUAAAGUGGGGGAAUGUGCUAUUUGCUUUAC